rnacentral:RNase_P_RNA from 1 species
AGUCGGAUAAUUGCGGACUUUGGUGAAAGCCAAAGGAUGAGGAAAGUCCGUGCAUUCAAGGACAGAUCGCCGGAGAAACUCCGGACGGCGCGAGCCGGUGGAUAGGGCCACAGAAAAUAUACAGCCGAUGGGCGAAAGUCACAGGCACAGGUGCAACGGCGAGGUAAAAGCUCACCGACGGUGUUGAGAGGCACCGGUCAGGUAACCCCCGAUAGAAUGCAAGAUUGAAUUGAAGGUUAUAAAGGCUGUCCGCCAACUUCUAAGAAAUCGCUAGAGAUUACAGGCAACUGCAAUACCAGACAGAUAAUUAUCUAAAACAGAACACGGCUUACGGACUGCUUUA